rnacentral:rRNA from 1 species
GACGAACGCUGGCGGCGUGCUUAACACAUGCAAGUCGAACGGUGAAGCCCCAGCUUGCUGGAGUGGAUCAGUGGCGAACGGGUGAGUAACACGUGAGCAACCUGCCCCUGACUCUGGAAUAAGCGCUGGAAACGGCGUCUAAUACUGGAUACGAGAAGGGUCCGCAUGGGCACUUUCUGGAAAGUUUUUCGGUUGGGGAUGGGCUCGCGGCCUAUCAGCUUGUUGGUGAGGUAAUGGCUCACCAAGGCGACGACGGGUAGCCGGCCUGAGAGGGCGACCGGCCACACUGGGACUGAGACACGGCACAGACUCCUACGGGAGGCAGAAGUGGGGAAUAUUGCACAAUGGGCGAAAGCCUGAUGCAGCGACGCCGCGUGAGGGAUGACGGCCUUCGGGUUGUAAACCUCUUUCAGCAGGGAAGAAGCGAAAGUGACGGUACCUGCAGAAGAAGCACCGGCUAACUACGUG